CGGCGAUCGGGCCUUUCGAGUGGAGAGUGUGGGAGUUGGCGGACAUGUGAGAGUUCCACCAUGAACCUCGCCCGCCACUCUCAUCUCGUCCACCCGGUCGAUAGGUUGCGAUCGUC
rfam:Drosophila persimilis strain MSH-3 cont1.016830, whole genome shotgun sequence.